rfam:Oryza nivara chromosome 1, whole genome shotgun sequence.
AACCACACUAUCAAUGGAUAGAUUCACCCGCGAAAUGACGCGGUUGUUUCACCUAGGACAAGGACAUGGCAUCCUAUUACCAGCCAUCGCACUUGUCCUAGAUGGAACAACCACGUCAUAUCAUGGGUGAAUCUAUCUAUUGAUAGUGUGGUU